rnacentral:rRNA from 1 species
CGAUGGUCCGUUUUAGAGACGGCCAGAGAUUAACGGAUAAAAGCUACUCCGGGGAUAACAGGCUAGUUCCGCCCAAGAGUUCAUAUCGACGGCGGAGUUCGGCACCUCGAUGUCGGCUCACCUUAUCCUGGGGCUGGAGAAGGUCCCAAGGGUUUGGCUGUUCGCCAAUUAAAAAGGUACGCGAGCUGGGUUCAAACCGUUCAAUAGCGGAAACUGUUUCAGCUAUUGAACCCGUUUGAACCCCAUUGAGGAGAAAGUUUUAAUCUUUUUGUCUAAAAAUAGAAAAAAUAAAAUAAAGGGGAGCACCCUUUAUCGUAACCGCGUUUGAACAAUUUUUGUUUAGCGCUCUUUAAAAUAAAAGCAGAUAGAAUCAAUCAAAUCACGGCGAUCACGAAAAUUUUUUGUGAUGUUGCUGACUUAUAUCGGUGAAGUCCUUUUGGGAUAACACCGAGGGAAUCCGCUCUGAGCGGGGCCCGUAGAGACUAAACGUCAGCUUCCGAUACAGGUUCGGAAAAGUUAUAGUCCAAUGCCAAUAGCAAUAUUGGGUAUCAUGCGUGAGACAGGUUGGUCUCCUAUCUACUGCAGGCGUCGAUUCUUGAGAGGAUUCGUUCUUAGUACGAGAGGACCGGAAUGAACUGACCUCUGGUCUACCUGCUGUCACGCCAGUGGCAGCGCAGGGUAGCUAAGUCGGGAAUGGAUAACCGCUGAAAGCAUCUAAGCGGGAAGCCAACCUCAAGAUAAGGAAUCAUUUAAGGCCCGUGAGAGAUGAUCACGUUGAUAGGCUCUAGGUGUACGGCGAGCAAUCGCUUCAGCCGAGGAGUACUAAUC